UACGUAGGGCGCAAGCGUUGUCCGGAAUUAUUGGGCGUAAAGAGCUCGUAGGCGGCUUGUUGCGUCGGUUGUGAAAGCCCGGGGCUUAACCCCGGGUCUGCAGUCGAUACGGGCAGGCUAGAGUGUGGUAGGGGAGAUCGGAAUUCCUGGUGUAGCGGUGAAAUGCGUAGAUAUCUGGAGGAACACCGGUGGCGAAGGCGGCAUCCUGGACCAACACUGACGCUGAGGAGCGAAAGCCAGGGGAGCAAACGGG
rnacentral:rRNA from 1 species